rnacentral:tRNA from 1 species
CAUUAAAUGGCUGAAAAGUAAGCAAUGAUCUCUUAAAUCAUAAUAUAAUAGUAUUAACAAACUAUUUUUAAUGA